rnacentral:rRNA from 1 species
AAGCCAGACUCCUACGGGAGGCAGCAGUGGGGAAUAUUGCACAAUGGGGGAAACCCUGAUGCAGCGACGCCGCGUGAGCGAAGAAGUACCUCGGUAUGUAAAGCUCUAUCAGCAGGGAAGAAGGAGGACGGUUCCUGACUAAGAAGCCCCGGCUAACUACGUGCCAGCAGCCGCGGUAAUACGUAGGGGGCAAGCGUUAUCCGGAUUUACUGGGUGUAAAGGGGGCGCAGACGGCAGCGCAAGCCAGGAGUGAAAGCCCGGGGCCCAACCCCGGGACUGCUCUUGGAACUGCGCGGCUGGAGUGCAGGAGGGGCAGGCGGAAUUCCUGGUGUAGCGGUGAAAUGCGUAGAGAUCGGGAGGAACACCAGUGGCGAAGGCGGCCUACUGGGCUUUAACUGACGCUGAGGCACGAAAGCGUGGGUAGCAAACAGGAUUAGAUACCCGCGUAUGA